rnacentral:rRNA from 1 species
GACGAACGCUGGCGGCGUGCUUAACACAUGCAAGUCGAACGAUGAACCUCGAAAUGAUUUCUUCGGAAAGAUUUUUGAGAGGAUUAGUGGCGAACGGGUGAGUAACGCGUGAGCAACCUGCCUUAGACAAGGGGAUAGCCUCGGGAAACCGUGAUUAAUACCCUAUGAGACUCCACUUACGAGUGUAAGAGAAGUUAAAGCUAUUGCGGUCUAAGAUGGGCUCGCGUCUGAUUAGCUAGUUGGUGAGAUAAAAGCCCACCAAGGCGACGAUCAGUAACCGGCGUGGGAGAGUGAACGGUCACAUUGGAACUGAGACACGGUCCAAACUCCUACGGGAGGCAGCAGUGGGGAAUAUUGCACAAUGGGGGCAACCCUGAUGCAGCGACGCCGCGUGAGCGAUGAAGGAAUUCGUUUCGUAAAGCUCUGUCCUUGGAGAAGAUAAUGACGGUAACCAAGGAGGAAGCACCGGCUAAAUACGUG